CGGGUGAGUAACACGUGAGUGACCUGCCUUUUAGACUGGAACAACUUACCGAAAGGUGAGCUAAUGCCGGAUGAGUUAUAUAAGUGCAUGUUUAUAUAGGAAAAGUUGGGGAGACCUGACGCUGAAAGAUGGACUCGCGUCCCAUUAGCUAGUUGGUAGGGUAAUGGCCUACCGAGGCGACGAUGGGUAGCCGGCCUGAGAGGGUGGCCGGCCACACUGGGACUGAGACACGGCCCAGACUCCUACGGAAGGCAGCAG
rnacentral:rRNA from 1 species